rnacentral:rRNA from 1 species
GAUGAACGCUGGCGGCGUGCCUAAUACAUGCGAGUCGAGCGAACAGAUGAGGAGCUUGCUCCUCUGACGUUAGCGGCGGACGGGUGAGUAACACGUGGAUAACCUACCUAUAAGACUGGGAUAACUUCGGGAAACCGGAGCUAAUACCGGAUAAUAUAUUGAACCGCAUGGUUCAAUAGUGAAAGACGGUUUUGCUGUCACUUAUAGAUGGAUCCGCGCCGCAUUAGCUAGUUGGUAAGGUAACGGCUUACCAAGGCGACGAUGCGUAGCCGACCUGAGAGGGUGAUCGGCCACACUGGAACUGAGACACGGUCCAGACUCCUACGGGAGGCAGCAGUAGGGAAUCUUCCGCAAUGGGCGAAAGCCUGACGGAGCAACGCCGCGUGAGUGAUGAAGGUCUUCGGAUCGUAAAACUCUGUUAUUAGGGAAGAACAAAUGUGUAAGUAACUAUGCACGUCUUGACGGUACCUAAUCAGAAAGCCACGGCUAACUACGU